UACGAGGGGUGCAAGCGUUGCUCGGAAUUAUUGGGCGUAAAGGGUAGGUAGGUGGUCUCAUUUGUCUAGGGUGAAAGCCUUGAGCUUAACUCAAGAAGUGCCCUAGAAACGGUGAGACUGGAGUCUUGGAGAGGGUCGUGGAAUUCCCGGUGUAGCGGUGAAAUUCGUAGAUAUUCGCAAGAACACCAGUGGCGAAGGCGGCUCACUGGCCCGGUACUGACGCUGAGGCACGAAAGCGUGGGGAGCAAACAGG
rnacentral:rRNA from 1 species